rnacentral:rRNA from 1 species
CAAUAGCGUAUAUUUAAGUUGCUGCAGUUAAAAAGCUCGUAGUUGGAUUUCGGGUGGGAAUGGCCGGUCCGCCGUUUCGGUGUGCACUUGCUACGCCCACCUUGCUGCCGGGGACGUGCUCUUGAGUUCACGCUCGGGACACGGAGUCGGCGAGGUUACUUUGAGUAAAUUAGAGUGUUCAAAGCAGGCCUACGCUCUGAAUACAUUAGCAUGGAAUAACACAAUAGGACUCUGGCCUAUCUUGUUGGUCUGUAGGACCGGAGUAAUGAUUAAGAGGGACAGUCGGGGGCAUUCGUAUUUCAUUGUCAGAGGUGAAAUUCUUGGAUUUAUGAAAGACGAACUACUGCGAAAGCAUUUGCCAAGGAUGUUUUCAUUAA